rnacentral:tRNA from 2 species
UAUAUUUUAGUGUAAAAGCAUAGAAAUUUUUGAAAUUUCUGGGAAUAUUAAAAUUAUUAAAUAUAA